CCACGGGGGCUGCAGUGGGGAAUAUUGGACAAUGGGCGAAAGCCUGAUCCAGCCAUGCCGCGUGUGUGAAGAAGGCCUUCGGGUUGUAAAGCACUUUCAGUGGGGAAGAAAGCCUUGGGGCUAAUACCCUCGAGGAAGGACAUCACCCACAGAAGAAGCACCGGCUAACUCCGUGCCAGCAGCCGCGGUAAUACGGAGGGUGCGAGGCGUUAAUCGGAAUUACUGGGCGUAAAGCGCGCGUAGGCGGUCUGAUAAGCCGGUUGUGAAAGCCCCGGGCUCAACCUGGGAACGGCAUCCGGAACGGUCAGGCUAGAGUGCAGAAGAGGAAGGUAGAAUUCCCGGUGUAGCGGUGAAAUGCGUAGAGAUCGGGAGGAAUACCAGUGGCGAAGGCGGCCUUCUGGACUGACACUGACGCUGAGGUGCGAAAGCGUGGGUAGCAAACAGGAUUAGAUACCCCAGUAGU
rnacentral:rRNA from 1 species